AUCGCUCCAUCGUUCCAUCCCUCCAUCCCUCAUACCCCCACCCCUUGUCUAUUCAUUUCCCCUUCUGCUCUUUUGAAGGGAAAGGAGAAGUAAAUCAGGAUAGUGUCGCACGCACUAUCAUCUCCCCAGCAAGAACACACGCAGACAACCGGAUCCUUCUGCAGCAAUGCUUUAUUACGCUAGCUUCAGCAUGAAGAGGAAGACCCAGAGCCCCAAACAGGCGCUGCUUAUAUACCCCUUAAAGCGGCGUGUCCACACCUGAUUGGCUGCUUGCUCAUGAUCCCAUUGACACGCCCCCGGAUGAGCUGUGACUUGGCGCCAAUACUCUUUCGCACAUGCGCACAAUGCUUGUUUACUGGAAAAUUCCUGCAGGCGCAGCUGAAGCCAGCGCCAUCUUGUAAUGGCGAUUGCGGCUCUCCACAAGGGUGGGGUUGGGAAUGAGAAAUGGGAUGUGUGGAGAAAGGAGAAACUGAGAUCAUGACUUAUUGUAUGAAACAAUUGAAUGUGAUAUCAGAAAAGUCCAGAGCAACAGGGAUUCCAGGGGCAUAUAUACAAGGCAGAAAAAUGCAAUUGACAAGCUCUAGAAAAAGGAUAACCAGAGCAGAAUUUCAGGUUCAGCCAGGAGUCCACACCCUUCUAUUGUACCAGAGGCUCAGGAAUCAAGGAGCAACACUCAUGCCCAGACGUGAACCUGCCUGAGCUGGCUGAAGGUUGUUAUCACUGAGGAAAUUCUCACUUCUGAGUAAGAUAGAUUGGAUAGCUCUGAGAAACCUGCCACAAAUGAUCUUCUAAAAUAAACAACCUUCUAAAAUGUGUAUUAUUCCAAAAAUAUUUCAAUCAGUUCAAAUUACAGAAAACUAACAUUAGUUUUUGGACCUCAGAUUUUAUAAAAGUCACAAAAAAAUCUUCAGAAAGAGUAUGAACUUUAUGGCUCAAAAAUCUUCAGAAAGAAUAUGAGAUUCUUCAUUUCUAUAUAGAAAUAUGCCCAUGAUAAUAAGGACAAGUUAAAUAAUGCUCAAAUGGAUGUGCUUACUAGAAGUCUAUUUGAAGAUUUGGUGUGGAGGUUAUUAACAGAAAUACAAAAUAUUUAUCAUGCCAUUAAAUAUAAGAUGGUUUAACAAAUAAUAAUAUCAUGGGUUUAUAAAUGGUGCUGAGGUCCUAUAUGUAAUAUUUAAAUCUUAUCUGGUUGUUUCACUCAAAAAUUAAUGUAUCAUUAUAAUAACUCAAAUAUUAACCGUGAGUUUUGAGCAUAUGAUUAUUUAUUUGAGCAUAUAUAAUGUUUCAGGUAUGAUUAUCUAAGGCUUUGUUCAUAAAUAAAUCUUCUCUGUCCAUAAUCAUAGAAUUUGGUUCACAAGCGCAGAGAUUGAAAUAUCACAAUUUCUCUGCUGUUUAUGUUUAUGCUCAAGGAAUAGAGUAGCCUUAGUGCUUGGUUACAAUAAACUAUUUUACACAG